AGAGUUUGAUCAUGGCUCAGGAUGAACGCUAGCGACAGGCUUAACACAUGCAAGUCGAGGGGCAGCAUGAUUUGUAGCAAUACAGAUUGAUGGGCGACCGGCGCACGGGUGAGUAACGCGUAUGCUAACUACCUACCAGAGGGGGAUAGCCCGGCGAAAGUCGGAUUAAUACCCCAUAAACAGGGGUCCCGCAUGGGAAUAUUUGUUAAAGAUUCAUCGCUGAUAGAUAGGCAUGCGUUCCAUUAGGCAGUUGGCGGGGUAACGGCCCACCAACCGACGAUGGAUAGGGGUUCUGAGAGGAAGGUCCCCCACAUUGGUACUGAGACACGGACCAAACUCCUACGGGAGGCAGCA
rnacentral:rRNA from 1 species